UUCGUUGUAGUCUAGUUGGUUAGGAUACUCGGUUCUCACCCAAGAAACCCGAGUUCGAUUCCCGACAACGGAA
rnacentral:tRNA from 1 species